UGAAGCGGCGACCGCGCGUCCCGUCAGUUAAAGCCAGUCAGAGAGGAGAAGGCUGCCGACGGGACGGUUUGUCCUCCCGCUCGCCCGGUCGGCUCGUCCGCACUCCGGGUCGGCACUCUGAGGUCCGCCGUUGGAGGGGGUGAGGGGAGGCGGGAGGGGGCGUGGCGCCCCCCCCGAGCCUCAACGGUCCGCGCUGCCCGCCGCCAUCUUGGACGAGCCCACUGCACCUGCGCGCUCGCUCUGCUGCAGGCUCCGCCCCCAAGGACUUGACUGUCUGCUGGCCUCCCUUCUGCAGGCCUUUCUACGACCAGCUGUCCAGCUUCGGCAAACAGCAAGCCUCCUACGACCGGCAGCAGGGCUUUGGCCAGCAGCAAGAAGUGUACAACCAGAAGUAAAACUUUGACCAGCAGCAGCAAGGGCCCUACGGCCAGAACCAGCCAUCCUACCAGGCGCAGCAAAAGGAGAAUUACAGGCACAGCAUGCAAGGCUUAUAUCCUGACAGACGACCGCCGUGACAAGGGGCGAUACGGGGAAGAUAACCGAGGGUACGGGGCGCAACGCGGAGGUGGGAGCAGGUUCAAUUCCGACAACAGAGGUCCCGUGUCCGGCAUAAGAUUUCUUAAAGGAGCACUGCUUAUUGGGUGCUGCAGGCCUGACGGUCGGGACAAUCAAAGCAUGAGAACACACUGAAAGUGGAGAGUCUGAGGAACAGAGAAAGCUGCUAUAUACGGAGUCAGACCCUUGGUCCAUCCAGCUCAGUAUUGUCUACACAGACUGGCAACGGCUUCUCCGAAGUUGCAAGCAGGAGUCUCUUUCAGCAUUAUCUUGGCGAUAAUAAGGACAUGAUGAUCUAUUGACUACUUGGAAGGAUGUGAUUAUGCAAAAGAAAGGCAUACCUCCUGAUGACCUACAGAGACCAAGUUUUGCAUGCACUAUCCUGCCACUGAAAUGAGCGGAAUGUUCUGCUUUUGACACUGGGAUGUCCUCAGGGCAAAUUUACAUCAUUUUUCUGCAGUUUUUCUGGAUGCAGUUCUGAUGCUUAGACUAGCCAAUUACCUACAGAAACCAAAUCUCCUGCUGUUCCACAUAUUUCUAGGCCACAUCUCAACAAAGUCCUCCAAGUGGGGCACAUAAACAAAUCACUCGGAUCAACCCGCUCCCAAUCGAAGGAGAAAUGCUAGGUAGAACUCGGCACUGGUGGGAUGCUGUGCUGGGGGUGAAUCGAGCCCAUUCCACUGAUUGGUGGCCUUGCCUUGAGUUUGGCCUGGUUCGUUUGAUCUCCGGGAGAGAGACGGCGGGCUGCAGGCUGCUGGUGGAGGAGAGCCUCCGCUUGGAUAGCUGGUGGGAGAUCAGGGUGGGGCAGAAGCAAGAGAAGACAGCCGUGAGUUGACACUGCUCACAGUUUCCCCCAUCAUUCCGCAGGACACAGGCCAGCUGUGAAUCACCCUCUCCCACAAAGCCAAGGAACGGAGGCACAUGGAAACUCGUGAGGCCGUGGGCUGUCCUGCUCUUCCGUGAGCCACUCUGCUUUCCUGCAUCAGUUCUCGAAGGAGACGGGGACCCAGCUCCACACAGAGUGCAAAUUGCAGCUGCCACCACCCCAACGCCUCGGAGGCUGUUAGCUUGGGAGGGGCUUCUGACUGAAGAGGUGUGUCUGACCAGUCACUGUGAGCCACAUAUUUACCUGACUCAAGGUUUGUUUGGUGUGUGAACCUGGCUUUUUAAUAUUUAUUUCGUUUA